UCGCUGCCGACGACGGAGCA
rnacentral:snRNA from 1 species